GUUUUUGCAAAAAGAAUUGGUGACAUUCUCCUUUCAAAUCAAAGCAACAAUAACUCGAAAAAAUUCGCCUCAGAAAAUGCGCUGAAAACCUAUCUACUCCAAGAAGUAAAACAUAUCAGCUCUCUAAUCGGCAACUAUAUUGAUGACUCAGCAUUCAACGGUGUCCAGUUUUCCCUGCUACAUCACAGAUUGGCAACAAGGAUCGUCAGUUACCUUAUAGCUCAUCCAGAAAGCUUAGCGACGUCUGUAAGGAUUUAGAAGGACUACUAGACACUGACAGCAGUGAGCCAAUGGAAAUUUGUUCAACGCCACCAUCACGAAACAGUAGAUUGAAGAUGCAAGAUGAAACAGUAUUACAAUGUUUAAUCCAGCAGUGUUCGACUAUUCUGAGUGCGUUUCUUGGGAAGGACUCGGGCGACGCAACCCUCUCUGCCAACUGCUCUCUCUUAGCUGAAGCGGAAGUUCAAGAUCAGUGGGAGUUAUCGGAGCAUUGCCAGUGUGCCUUUAUCAAAGGUUCCAUUUCACCUCCGAGACGACAUCGGAAUAGAAUGUGGAAUAGUUUUAAAUCCAAUCAAAGGCGCGUAUCAGCUCUCAUUUCAUCUCUUGGAAAAGAUCCAGAAGCGAAAUCUAACUGCGGAAGUGAAGAGCAAAGUGGUUUGAGCUCACCACCUGGGUUUGAAUUCUCUGAAAGCAGCGGCGAGUCUGAAGAGGAGUGGUACGAGCCUUCAGCACCAACGGAUACAGUUGACGCAAUUUCCACUGUAAAAACGAAAAAUGACGACGUAGAGCCCAUGAGUGUGCCAGCUUUGGCUCCUGAACUCUAUAUUGACGAUUCUGGACCUUGCAAGUUGGACCUUGACGUUUUCGAAGCCAUCGGAGACAUUGAAUUAGAUUUAACAAAGUACCCUGUUACCAAUUACUGGAAAUUUUGCAUCACAAGUCAUUCUUUGGAAGAAAGAGAAAAGUGGAAAAAAGGAGACCUGACAUGUAGCCCCUGUUUGAUUGCCGCAACAAUUUUACCAAUCACCUCUAUUUUUUACCAAGCUGCUCAUCCUUUUACCCUCUUUUUUAAGAUUGAUCUGUCGGAUUGUGUGAUAAACCUUUUGUAAUAUCUUCCUUUUGGAUAAGCCCCACUCUGUUAAACCAAUGGACUGUUACUUACUUUUAUUGUUUUACUUGUUUUAGGAAAAUUUGUACGUUCGUAUUUGUUCAUUAAGAAAAUUGAUAAUUACCAAUAAAAUAUUUUUUUUAAAUUUCCAAGGAAGCAAAUUUGUGGGUUAUGUUCAUUUUUAAACUGGAAAUUCACAAAACUCCCUAUGUUCUUA
rnacentral:lncRNA from 1 species